GGCGCAUUACUCACGUGUGAUCCACACAGCAGCAGCAGACGCUUUCCUUACCGCCGCUUUCGUUUCCUUCCCCAUUGCCGCAAGGGUGCACGCGUAAGCGUGAACGACUUCGCGAACGGAUUUGCAGCAGUAUAUUUGUUUUGCUGUUUUUUUUUUCAUGCUGUACGGCAACCACUUACUCAUCCCCCACCUCACCAUCGCUACCACACAGAUACGCACACAUUUCCACCUGCGUUCUCACAGUUUUUUUUUUCUCUUGAACACUGAAAAGAGCGUGGGCUCAGUGAGCUCGAAAAAGAAACGCAAGGACGGGAGGCGCGGUGCAUCUCUUGAAUGCCCAUCUCCUCUGAUGUGGAUGUGGUGGCAGCAGUGCCGGUGCUGAAGCCGCUUCUUGCACUCGCCGGCUCAUCUCCUGUUUCGUGGAAGCAUCUUUCUACCCACGACGGGUACAGUGUCUCAGAGCUCCCUCCGAUCCCUGCCCUGGGACUGCCUAGGAAGUGCUACCGCACGCAGUUUGUGGUGAACGGGGACCUCGACUCGUUUCAGCGCGUGCUCAGCGAUGAAGCUUCGAUUCGCGAAUUUGACCCUGCUCUGAAGGAGAUGCGCAUCUUGGAGCGGCGCGCGUCCAAGACGCUGCUGUACACGUCGUACGUGUCGCCAUCUCCGUGGCUCGUCACCCCGCGCGACUUUUGCGUGUGGUCCGCAACGAUCUUCACAACACUGGAGCAGCUGAAGCGCGUGUGCUCAGAGGCAAAGGAAGGCAGUGCUCAGACAUCCAACAGCUCUCUGGCCGUGAGGAAAUUCUUUUGCACAUGUCAACAAUCGGGAGAGGCUCCCGAUCCUGGUCAGACGGUGUACCUGCAGAACAGCGUGACGGCGCGGGUGUCGGACUCGGCGGCAGUUCCGACACCACAAUGCGGAAAGCUGUUUGUGCGCGGAGUCGUCUACUGCUUCGGCUACGUGGCGUUUGCGGACCCUUCCAUUCAGGGCAAGUUGCGUGUCACCCACUACUGCUGCGUUGACCCGGCUGGCCAGAUACCCACGUGGCUGGUGGUCGCCGCGGUGGAGGAGAAUACAAAGAAACUGAGGAAGAUGGCAGAGCUCGUCGAGGCUGCCGCCGCGGCUGCGGCGCCGGCAGCUGAGCCUACCUCGGCUUGCCUCAAUGCGCCGUCAGCUGAUCCGCUGCCGGCAACAGAGCCGCAAGAGCCAGCGUUUACAUUGGCGGGUAGUGCGGAGAAACCAUCCGAGGAGGUCAAGGGCGAAGGAGUCUCAACUCCACUUUUCACAAAAGCUCCUUGUGAUGAAGCUCCAUCGCUUGCGGUCCCAACCGUGGAGGGCGCUUCCGACCGCGGUGCGUACCCGUCACCCGAUGCGGAAGGUAAGGCGGCACUUUCUAUGCCUUCUGAAUCCACGGACGUCUCCCCUUCACCGCAGCCGAUGCCAAAGGAACAACGCAGCUUCCCACCGCCGCCAGCGACGUGUAGAAACACUGCCACGCAUGAUCCCUCUCUCACUUCCAUGCCACCACAGCCACCCGGCACGGCAGCAAGUGUGGAUCCGAGGGUGGAGAUCCUCAGCCUGCUUGCGCGCUCCAAUGGCUGGUGCACGCGGCGCGAGGUUGAAGAGAUACAGUACGCGGAACUGCGCGUCUUGCCGGAGCCGCUGCGCUCGAAGGGCUCGCUGUGCAUCGCGAUGCGCGUCAGCGCAGUGGUCCGCUGCACCCUCGACACGCUCGUAGCAGUACUGCGCGAUCCGGCACUUUUUCCGGAGAUCGACCCGGAGCUCGUGCGAGUGGCUGCCGCCUCAACGUCGUCUGGUGCGUCUAGCCGGACAGCGAGUCGCGAACCGAGCACACCUGGCCACGGUACCGCGUCAACUGCGGGCGAGCUGCGCCACUAUCAGUUCGAUGCCAAUGAAUCCUUUCGAUGCCCAUGGGAAAUGAUCCUGCACUGCACCGACUUCGAGUGGACGCAAAUCGACGGGGGACGGCACGGCUUUCACACGCCUGGCGUCCCCGCGGCGACGCACGUGUGGGUGAGUGCAGACAGCACGACUUUCUGCUAUCGUGGCGUACGCCCGGACGGAUACCAUCAGCUUAUGCAGGUGCGCGUGUUUGGCGUCACGGCCGUUGCCGUGCCCCGCAGCGCCGAAAGCGUCCGCGUGUCGCAGUAUAUGCUCUUCGAUGCCUGCGCACCGCUUUCGCCCAUCUCUCACAGCUCUUGGCACAUCUCCUUUCAGAAGAAGUGCCCGACGGAGGAGUUCGUGUCGGGCGUCUCGAGGUGGAUGGAGGGCCGCAUGAACCGUCUUCGGCGCCUAAGCGAGGAGCGGCAUCGUCGGCGCAGCAGCAGCGCCAUGGUGGCGCUCGACAAGGUGCCGCUCUUACGCUUUCUUUACGCGGUACACUGUGCUGAAGGCGGUCGCGCGCUCGAGAGCCCUGAAGCGGCGUGGUAUGGCGACGUCCUCGCUCGGGCUAUCCGAUGGACUGGCGAAGGCGGCUGCUCAUCACUCAGGACGGAAGCGGGUAGUGGCGACCCGCCUAUGGUGGUCCUCUCAACGUUGUUUCCGUGUUCUCUGGCGCAGCUACGCGACUACAUGCUAUUCAGCCCGCCUCGCCAUCGCUACGCUCUUGAGAGUGGGGUCCACAAGUACGAAGAGUUGGCCGCUCCACCUGACUUCACGAUAGUGCGCGUCGAGUACGGCGCCGCGAGCGCUUCCUUCCCUCGGGUGCGGCUGACGGUUCUGGAGGCGUUUGGCGAGCUCCACGGGGUGAAUGUUCCGUGCCCGACAUUAGUGCUGAGCCGCGCUGGGGUUGACGGAGAUGUGGGCGACGAAUGCGACGAGCUGGACUUCACUGAAAGUUCUGGCCACCUUCGCGUUAGCGCCGACACGCGGUUCGAGGACGGCCGCGUCUUCUGCUCCGGGUGGGUGGCCACGACGCUCGAAGGCAGUGGCAGCCAAUCGUGCGCGAAUGGCCCUUGGGCGGCGCUGAGGAGCCCUCACAGCGGCCCCGCGCCCGUCUCUCCAGAGCUGUGCACCGAGCAGUCGACUUCGGAUGGCAAGGCUGAGGAGGCUGCCCUGCACCAGCUGGAACGGAUUGUGGUGACACAGUACCUGAGCAUCGGUUUUCCAUCAGCGCACCAAGGCGAUCUCGACGCGGAUGGGCUACCAUGUGGGUGCAUAGCAGAGCAAGCGGCACAGCUGCAGCGCUUUCGCGAUUCGGUGUGCACAUGGGGUUCCUCUAUCGCAGCCAGGAGAUCGGAGUAAUCGCUCGAAAGAUUUUUUUUUUGCGUGUGCUUGUUUUGGCUUUCGGGGAGGCGGACGCCGAAGUGGUCCGUUGCGUCUGUUCUAUGUCAGCUGAGCUUUUUGUUUUCAAAGGAAGUCAGUGCUUUGCUCUUCUUCUCUUGUUGUCGGCUGUUCGCUUCGAACCGACGCGCACAUCACCGGUGGCAUUGAUGCACCGCGGCGAACUCGCCUCUGUGGACCGCAGUGUUCUCCUCUCGCCAUCCAUAUUUCGCUCACCUUUUCCUUAAUGUGCUUGCUUUCCCUGCUCGCUUUUUAUUGCGCCCUCUACACGCGUUUCUGUCUGCGUGUGUGUGUGUGUGUGUGUGCCAAACUCUUCGUCGAGCUCGUUUUAC
rnacentral:misc_RNA from 1 species